rnacentral:rRNA from 1 species
AUGGAGGCUUGUAGCUUAGCCAGGACAAUUGGCUUAUGGAGUUUACCCACACACCCAAGGAUGUUCUUGUCUCAGGUCUUCAGAGUUUUGCUCAAGCUGCUUGGUCUCCCCCCCAGUUUACUGAAGAAAUUCCUCAAACAUGAGCAUAUUCAUCCACCACACAUGGAGAGUGAAGUAGGCGGAUUGCCGGAGCUGCCGCACGAACUCCUCGUGGAUAUAUUUGCCCUCCUAGAUAUUCCCGACCUGAAGCGUGCCAGCUCCGUCUGCUCCUCCUGGCGCUCAGUUUAUACCAGCCUAUGCAGCCUUGGGCUGUACAAGCGGCCCCAGACGCCAUGCCUGUUCUACACCUCUGAAUCUGCUGGUGAGAGUGUUGCCUUCCUCUACAGCCUCGCAGAGAAGAGGUCAUACAAGUUGACUCUCCCGGAGCCACCUAUCCGCAGUAGGCAUCUGAUCGGCUCCACAAAUGGCUGGCUGGUCACUGCUGAUGAGAGGUCUGAGAUGCAUCUUCUGAAUCCAAUCACCUGUCAACAGAUUGCUCUCCCGUUGGUGAUCACCAUCGAGCAUGUGACCCCCAUUUUUGAUGAAGCAGGUGCCUUAUGUGAGUACCAUUACUCGCGACACACAUAUGGGCCAUAUGGGCUCUGUACUGCUGACCGACCUUCAAUCCUUGCUCUUGACGAGCUACGGAGCUACCUCUAUGUAAAGGCAUUUGUAUUUUAUGAUGCAUCUGCAGGUGGACAUAUCGUGGUGCUUAUCCACAAUCCAUUCGGGCAGCUUUCGUUUGCUAGGUUAGGGGAUGACAAGUGGACCUGGCUGCCACAGCACUCUUUUUUUCAUGACUGCAUCUAUAAGGAUGGCCUAUUAUAUGCAGUGACAGCACAAGGGAAAAUUCUCGCCUUCAAUCUCAGAGGUCCUGUGGUCACAACGGAGUUAAUCAUGGACAUUGCGAAAGACAUUUUAGAUGAAAAUAUUUACAUUGUCCAGGCUCCAUGUGGCGGUCUACUUCAAGUCUGGAGAACCCAAGAGGCUAGUCAGUAUGUUGAAGAUGCUGGCCCUGCAAUAGAUCUGACUAAUACCAGAGAUAUCAAGAUAUUUAAAGUUGAAACCACGGCUGAAAAGCUUGUGGGAAUAGAUAGCUUGGAUGAUCAUGUGUUGCUUCUUGGGCACAACCAAACACUUUGUCUAAGUGUUGAAGAGUAUCCACAUCUGAAAGCAAACCAUGCCUAUUUUACAGAUGAUUGCGAACUGUAUCUUUUUGGAUGGAAGAAUAACCGUCGUGAUAUUGGAAUCUGUGACUUGGCAAAUAACACUUGUGAGGAACUUGUGUCCCCUCAGCCUUGGUCCAACUGGCCUAAUCCCAUAUGGAUAACACCAAGUCUUACAAGACUGUAA